AGAGGCCACGUGCCUUGGCAGGCUUGGAAGAAAACGCCGGAGAGAUUGCGGCCCCGCCUGCUCGUUCCGCAGAUUCCUGGAUUCCUGCUAGGAGCAGUUUCUGCCUUGUAUUUCCCGGAAAGUCAUCUUCCAGGGUUGAGACUUGGCAUUGAAAAAAGGGGUCGUGUCUGCCUUCUUAGUUCAAGGAUUGCUCCCCGGGCCCAGUCUCCGCAGCCUGAAAGAAGAUGGGGAAGGGCUACAAAGUGCUGGUUUGUGGAAUGGCCUCGGUGGGGAAGACCGCCAUUCUGGAGCAGGUCCUCUAUGGCAAGCAUGAUGUGGGUGCAGAAUGCAGCGCGACAAGUGAAGACGUGUAUGUAGCUUUGGCUGAAACGGACCGAGGAGUGAAAGAACAGUUGCGCCUGUAUGACACCAGGGGGGUGCAAGAAGGAGAGGAGUUCCCCAAACAUUAUUUCUCCCUCGCAGACGGCUUUGUUCUCGUCUAUGCCGUGAACAGCCUGGAAUCCUUCGAAAGAGCUGACUGGCUCAAGAAGGAGAUUGACAAGUGUAGAGACAAAAGAGAGGGCUCUAUUGUUGUCUUAGGCAACAAAGCUGACCUGGUGGAGGAAAGGCAAGUCGAGGCGGCCGUGGCUCAACAGUGGGCCAAACUCGAGAAGGUGAAGCUGUGGGAAGUCACGGUGACCGACGGAAGGACGCUGGUCGAGCCCUUCGCCGUGCUGGCGAGCAAACUCUCUCAGGCCCAGAACAAGUCGGCUUUUCCUUUGCCCGGGCGGAAGCCCAAAGGCAAUAACGACGACAGCUGAAGGCCAUUUCAACCAGGGAGGAGUGUUUCGAGUUGUCGGUCUGUGUUUUACGCUGUUCCUUUUGUGCUUCCUCAAGUGUUCGCAGAGUUUGACGCUGCAGUUAGUAAACUUGUGUAUGCAGUUUUUCCACUGUCAUUUCUAGAGGGGAAGAAUAGCCCUUUUAAAAAAAAAAUGUACACAAACAAACUAUAGAAAUACUUGCAUACCUGCCCAGAAUGAAAGGGUGUUCAGGAUGGAGGAAGAGGGACUGAGAGAACCCGAUGAAUUCCUUCAAACUUUGCCCACUGGUGUGGACAGCAAGCCAUAAAACAUUGUGACUGAAAAAGAUGGGGAGGGUGUGGAUACUCGCCCGUCAAUUGCACACCUAGAAAAAUCUGGUAAGAGUGAGCCAUUUGCAAACGCUCCAUUCUCACAGGGCAGGCCUCUCACAUCCUGUGUAUAAUAAUAGUGAAUUCGUACUUUGAUUCUGCAUAUUUUUGUGGCCAAAAUCUGUGCACGAGAUGGAGGCAUCAGAAGCCUUGGGAGAACCCUGAGAUUUGCAAAAGUGGAGGGGGGUGAAAACAUUUUUUUGGGUAAAUUAGGGGUACUGAGGAGUGAGAAUGUUUAGCGGGCAUGAAAUGCUGUCUGCUAUAUUGGGUUGAGGGACAGAAAAUGGGAGGAGAUGGAAUGGAGAAAAGGGCAUGGCCAGCUGAAACGCUAAUCAGGAGUAGUUAACGCUGCGACUUUUUGUUGCAGAUCCAACUUGUUUGUUUUAUAAUGCACAUCGUGGAGUAAUGAGACCAGAUUUUCACAAGUGAGAGCCAAGCCCACAUAAAAAGCAGUCAGGGUUUGGCUUAAGUGCUUAAGCAAGCAGUUGCUCUCCUGUAGGGCAGCGUAGGUGAGAAAAAGAGCCACUCUUUAAUAAUAAGUCAUUUGUAAAGGGUUUGUUUAUUAGCCACUCUUCACCAUAAGAUUCCCAGGGGAGCGAACAGUUUUAAGUAGUAGCAGGUACAAUAGAAGUCCAUAUAUUAAACAUUAAAAGAGAGGAAAAAAGCAGCAGCCAUAAAACCCAUUGGAUCCAGAAAAACAAGUGUAAAAACAGUUAAUAAAGCAUGCUGGAAUACCUGAGCAAAUAAAAGUCCUCUCUUAUACUGAAAGGGCAUAAAAGAUGAGCUGGUUUGGAAGAGAUACUCCUUUCUGCAAUCACAAGAGGCCUUUCCCCAGUCACCACCCUCCUGACAUCAGAUGGUGCCUCCAAUGAAGAAUGAAGUAUUUGCACAGAAGGUCUUUCAAAUAAGGUCCCAAGCAAUUACUUUCUAAGUAAUGCCCAUCACUUUCUUUGGUGCCCAGAUGAUGAAAGCACCAGGUAAAUUAUGUCCCAAUUAGCAACCUGGCAUUUUGUCCUAGCUGGAGUUUCCAGGAAAUCUUCAAUGACAACCCUAAGUAUCACGUAUUGCAGUAGUCCAGCCAAGACGCCAACGUGUGCCUAAGCUGUCUAGGAGACAUCACAGAGGGUGUGCCAGUCUUCAACAACAAACAGAAGGCAGCUUAAAGGUGUCCUGUUAAAUAACUUGCUUUUUGCGUUUUCAGAUUUCAGUAAAGCCUGCCUUGCUGACAUUCCAGGAUUGUUGGUUUAGUCUUCUCAUUUCUUGGAACACCCUUUCAGAAUGCAACAUCUCAGUGCGCUUUGGUUCUUCCUGUGAAUUUACCUCUAGUAGCCCAAGAGGGUGAAGAUUUCAAAAUUCUAAACUGAUUAAAAUAUAUGCCAGUUGGAUUUUUUUAAAA